AGCGAACGCUGGCGGCAGGCCUAACACAUGCAAGUCGAACGAACUCUUCGGAGUUAGUGGCGGACGGGUGAGUAACACGUGGGAACGUGCCUUUUGGUUCGGAAUAACUCAGGGAAACUUGUGCUAAUACCGAAUGUGCCCUUCGGGGGAAAGAUUUAUCGCCAUUAGAGCGGCCCGCGUCUGAUUAGCUAGUUGGUGAGGUAAAAGCUCACCAAGGCGACGAUCAGUAGCUGGUCUGAGAGGAUGACCAGCCACACUGGGACUGAGACACGGCCCAGACUCCUACGGGAGGCAGCAGUGGGGAAUCUUGCGCAAUGGGCGAAAGCCUGACGCAGCCAUGCCGCGUGAAUGAUGAAGGUCUUAGGAUUGUAAAAUUCUUUCACCGGGGACGAUAAUGACGGUACCCGGAGAAGAAGCCCCGGCUAACUUCGUGCCAGCAGCCGCGGUAAUACGAAGGGGGCUAGCGUUGCUCGGAAUUACUGGGCGUAAAGGGCGCGUAGGCGGAUCGUUAAGUCAGAGGUGAAAUCCCAGGGCUCACCCUGGAACUGCCUUUGAUACUGGCGAUCUUGAGUAUGAGAGAGGUAUGUGGAACUCCGAGUGUAGAGGUGAAAUUCGUAGAUAUUCGGAAGAACACCAGUGGCGAGGCGAAAUACUGGCUCAUUACUGACGCUGAGGCGCGAAAGCGUGGGGGAGCAACAGGAUUAGAAUACCCUGGUAGUCCACGCCGUUAACGAUGAUAGCGAACGCUGGCGGCAGGCCUAACACAUGCAAGUCGAACGAACUCUUCGGAGUUAGUGGCGGACGGGUGAGUAACACGUGGGAACGUGCCUUUUGGUUCGGAAUAACUCAGGGAAACUUGUGCUAAUACCGAAUGUGCCCUUCGGGGGAAAGAUUUAUCGCCAUUAGAGCGGCCCGCGUCUGAUUAGCUAGUUGGUGAGGUAAAAGCUCACCAAGGCGACGAUCAGUAGCUGGUCUGAGAGGAUGACCAGCCACACUGGGACUGAGACACGGCCCAGACUCCUACGGGAGGCAGCAGUGGGGAAUCUUGCGCAAUGGGCGAAAGCCUGACGCAGCCAUGCCGCGUGAAUGAUGAAGGUCUUAGGAUUGUAAAAUUCUUUCACCGGGGACGAUAAUGACGGUACCCGGAGAAGAAGCCCCGGCUAACUUCGUGCCAGCAGCCGCGGUAAUACGAAGGGGGCUAGCGUUGCUCGGAAUUACUGGGCGUAAAGGGCGCGUAGGCGGAUCGUUAAGUCAGAGGUGAAAUCCCAGGGCUCACCCUGGAACUGCCUUUGAUACUGGCGAUCUUGAGUAUGAGAGAGGUAUGUGGAACUCCGAGUGUAGAGGUGAAAUUCGUAGAUAUUCGGAAGAACACCAGUGGCGAGGCGAAAUACUGGCUCAUUACUGACGCUGAGGCGCGAAAGCGUGGGGGAGCAACAGGAUUAGAAUACCCUGGUAGUCCACGCCGUUAACGAUGAU
rnacentral:rRNA from 1 species